CACGUAGGCACCAAGCGUUGUCCGGAUUUAUUGGGCGUAAAGAGCUCGUAGGCGGUUCGGUUAGUCGGGUGUGAAAACUUUGGGCUCAACCCAAAGCGUGCACUCGAUACUGCCGUGACUAGAGUUCGGUAGGGGAGUGGGGAAUUCCAGGUGUAGCGGUGAAAUGCGUAGAUAUCUGGAGGAACACCGGUGGCGAAGGCGGCAUCCUGGACCGGUAUUGACGCUGAGGCGCGAAAGCCAGGGGAGCAAACGGG
rnacentral:rRNA from 1 species